AACGAACGCUGGCGGCAGGCUUAACACAUGCAAGUCGAGCGCCCCGCCAGGGGAGCGGCAGACGGGUGAGUAACGCGUGGGAACGUACCUUUUGGUUCGGAACAACUCCGGGAAACUGGAGCUAAUACCGGAUAAGCCCUAACGGGGAAAGAUUUAUCGCCGAAAGAUCGGCCCGCGUCUGAUUAGCUAGUUGGUGAGGUAACGGCUCACCAAGGCGACGAUCAGUAGCUGGUCUGAGAGGAUGAUCAGCCACACUGGGACUGAGACACGGCCCAGACUCCUACGGGAGGCAGCAGUGGGGAAUAUUGGACAAUGGGCGCAAGCCUGAUAAAGCCAUGCCGGGUGAGAGAUGAAGGCCUUAGGGUUGUAAAGCUCUUUUGUCCGGGAAGAUAAUGACUGUACCGGAAGAAUAAGCCCCGGCUAACUUCGUG
rnacentral:rRNA from 1 species